GAUUUCAACAGGAUGUUUUAUUGAAAAUAUCAACAAAGUUCCUGUCUUGUACUCUUAGUUUUAGGUUGAAAGUCAUACAUAAACAUUUUAUGGCAAAUUGUAAGAAAUGCAGAGAAGUAAACUACUUUAAAUACUGUUUGUAUGAGUGUUUUGGCACCCUGAUAUUGAUAAAACAACCAAAGGUUCAUGAAACCAAAUAACAACAUACGCAUAAUAAGUGAACCCUUUUAUUUGUGUCAACACAUUCAAACAAUGUGUACAGGUUCGGUGCAACACUAAAGAAAUUCUGGCUGUUAACUGUGAUCUUUAGCAGCGGUUCAUUUUGGUAGCCAUAGGAACCAUUUGUCUUGUAGUGUGACACACAACUGAGGACAGAAUCAAGCUAACAGUCUGUGUUUGUCAUGGUAGAGCAAGAUAUUCAUCUUCAGCUUUUGUUACUUCAUUGAAUCAGUUGGUGAGGGUCACAUUUUGGAAGUGGUUAUCUGUUCUUCGAACAUCAGCUCUAUUUUUGCAGUUUGUUUUUUCAAAAUGUCUGCAUUUACUACCCUGAAAUUGUCUCAGCAUUAGAUUCAGCAGAUUUGAAUGUUAAUGAAUGGACUAUUUUUAUCUAGUGUGUUAGACCAAAUGAUACUUUACCUGACCUGUCGACUGACUAGUUGUGGAGGCUCGGACUGGUUUUGUCACACUUCUACUCAAUAAUAAGCCUUGCCUUUACACUGAAUUGUUUGUGACCGAAAUACCCACAGUUUACCAGUUUGGGAUAAAUAUUCAAACUGCAGUAAACUAAAAGCCCUUGAAGGUUCUUGACAGGCAUCAUCCAGAAGGCAGCGUUUCCAGACUAACACAUAUGUUUGAUGUUCAUGAAACUGGAAGAAGCUGCUUUUAUGAUGAAGUAAUGGGUAUAAUGACUUAUGACAUCAACAGCUUUUACACUAUUUUACUUCCCUUGACAUGAAUCUCAAAAAUAGAUAUGUGUAGCCACUGUGCUUUGUAUUUUUGUCUUAUCUAGUGUCAUGUUUUCAUUAUUUAAAAUGUAAAUAAACUGGCAAAGUAUUAUUUUUGUUAGCAUUUGAAGAUACAUUUACCAGUAAGAUAUUUUUUAUUCUAAGAUACCUGUAGGCCUAAAUGAUAAUUGUUAUUUAUAUUGUUAUCUACUACUUAAGGCCAUUGUGGUGUUAUUAAGUCAUUUAUUAUUCUUUACUGAUGCAUACAACUACUCUAACCAAGCAUGUGUGUAUAUCUUAUUGAUCAUUGUCCUAACUACAUUCUGUCAAUUAACUAUGAUAUAUAUUUCCCAUCUUCUUCAUGUUCUACACUGGUUAGGAUAGAAACUACUGUUAACUAAUUCUGUAGGUGUGUAUGAGGUACCGGUACAAUAUGAUAAUGCGAAAUGAAGAUGAUUGUUUUGUCAAGACAGCUGUUCCUUGUGAUAAAUUGAGUGUUGGGCGAAUUAAAUUUGAGUCAGGUGCAGUUACUUUUGUCUCACCUGAACCACAAUAAACUUUCAGAGAAAAGAUUACCUGGAGAAUCCUGUGUAUUCGUACAGAUUGAGCCGACAUCUGUCCCACAAUAGUUUGUGUUGAAAAUAUUGUUAAGUUGUUAUUUGAGUAUGAGUGAUGCAAGAUAAUUGAAGAUCUGUUUUAGCUUCUGUAACUGCCUGAUUUAAGCAAGAGAUAAAUGCCUGAACGCUUACCAUUGUUACUUUUCAACAUGUACAAUGUAUUGUGGAAACCUGGAACAAUGUUUCAGUGCAUGAAGUCUGAAAUUGGGUUCUUAUUUGUUGCCAUGGAUUUUGUAUGUGUGAUUCGCCAUGACUGUCAUGCUACAAGAAACUGCAUGACUGGAUGUUGGAUAUAGUUGUAUGUCCGUGUGAACUAAUGGCAUUCCAUAACACAAGGCAGUGUAUUCUGUAAAUGUCUUUGGGUCUUCGCAUAGUGCUUAAAUAAAUAGCAAAAUACAGUUCUAUCAUCACAAGAUCUACAGGAUAUCUUAUUGAAUAUCUUUUAUAAGAGUUGUAUACAAAGUUGACUAUGAGUCUCUCAUGUGAGAAAGAAAGUGUUGUUCCAUUUCCCCCAAAUUUGGUGCAUGUCAAGACCAGGACUCCUCGGAUUGCUGAUGAUUAUGAAUGUAAAAUACACUUUGAUACAAUAAAGUAAAGAAACAGGAUAUCAAGGUAAUAAUACAGGACAUGAUGCACCCGAAACAAAAACAAAAACUGUCUUGAACUUCUGCAACAGAGGAUGACUUCAACUAGUUUAUUGUUAGCAACAGCACAAAUGUUUUUACUAAAUUUAUAUUUAUUCAACUCUUUAAAAAUGAUAGUCCUCGCUUUGAGAAAUUAGGUAUUUACAGCCCAUCUGCAUCUGAUGUUUUACAUCUACACUUGAAUCUUGUGAGGUAGAACACCUAAAAAAAAAUAGAUAAAAAAACCAGAUAAAUAGAUACAUUUGCUUAUAGACUAUAGCUUUAUUUAUUAUCUUUUAAUAACAGAAUUGUUUUUGUCAUUUAAUGUAAGCAAAUUGAUGGCAAACAUGCUGUUCCUCAAAGUAUCUGAUAAAUUUACAAAAACAUUUGAAGCACUUCAUCACUUCACUGACUGAUUGGUGUUAACCGUCUUUGCUCAUCUUGACUGCCAUUGAAAAUAACUCCAUAAUAAGAGAAUAUUUUGGAAAAUGGUGUGAAUUUGAAAAAUACUCUCAAACAUGUCCACUAUUUGUUGUCUUACCAAAUUUAUUUAUUUAUUUUUCUGGUGAAUAUAUUUUUUAAAUUGCUUUUAAACAUCUUCAAUUAUCAAGUCUCUAUUCCUUGUGUGGUAAUAUCACUUUGUUACUGUGUUUUAAUUGGUACAAUAUUAGACAUGUGGUAUGUGAUAAGAAAGUUGGAGAAGUAGUUACUUUCAUCUCAGUCCCAUGAUUUGCCACUAAAUGAUAGUCGAUUGUAGCAGUUUCAUUAAAAUCUCUGAUAUGAUACGUUCUUAGAAUGUGAUGUUAAUUGAAUCCAGAGCAAACUUUGACUUACCAAUCUAAUUGAAGAAUGUGUGGAUUCUUGAGCCAGCCAGCUUUCUAAAAGGAUUUGGGUUAAUUUCUUCAGCACCUUUAUUCAGCAUUAUUUUUAUCUUAGCUACCAGAGAAGCCAACAGAAUAAAAAACAGUCUCUUAUAAUUUCAUGCUUAAGGGUAUAAAUGACAUGGCAUUUAUAGUGACAGGAUGUGUUACAUAUCAUCAACAAUAUACUGGUGCACUUUAUAAUUGCAUUUGAAAUUGCCCAAUUGACUUUGUUUAAGAGACACACAAAUAAGAUUUGCUGGUCUAAAUUCUCCUCUCACUUGAAUUCAUGAUUUUGAUGCUGAUGGGCUGAUGUACUAAUGAGAAAAUACAGUGACCUUGUACAGAGAUGUCCCCAGAGAUUUACCUAUGGGAGUAAUAGAUUUCCAAAUUAAAUUAGACAGUGAACAAGCUGUUCUGACACAUGUCGCAGAGACCAGUAAUGACAUUGACAGAGCCAAGUGUAUUUUAACUUUAUCCUGUGAUUCUUCUACUUCCAAAGAUAUGUUUUAUUCCUUUCUACUGUGUUUUCUUGUUUGUUAUCCCAAAUGCUCAUACAUGGAAACUGAUAGCCAGCUUUUUGUUCAUGUCUCAUUCUGUAACACUUUGAUAGAAGUGUUCAUGUUGUCUCCUUGCUUGCGUGAGUGGGAUGAUGCAGGAGGACAUGUCCUGGCAAACAAUGUCCUGGCAAGCAGGCAAGCUGAUCAGCUUAAGUGGAAGCUUUCACUGGACAUCUUGUUAAUUAAAAUAGGAAUUUGUUCCACAGUUCUACCAGAGAGUGGCCUUAUCAGCUAAAUGUAUAGUUUGCAUCAUUGGGCAUUUUCCCCAAACAUUUUCAUAACUACUGUGUUUGUUUUCUAAUGUGUCACAUGUCUUUAAACAUCAAUACCUUCAUGAAAAAUAAACUGUGUUUUAUCUGAAA